rnacentral:tRNA from 1 species
GGGGCUAUAGCUCAGCUGGGAGAGCGCAUGACUGGCAGUCAUGAGGUCCGGGGUUCGAUCCCCCGUAGCUCCACCA